CACAAGAACGUCAACGGAAGAAUCCCGAGGCUAUGCGAUGAAGAUUGCAGCAGGUCUCAUCAUUCCGCGUAAAAUAGGAACGCGCAAAAGCGGCAAAACAAUGCGCCCUCAAUUGUGUUUUUUAGAGGGCCCGGCAAAGUUCUGACUGGUGUUGCAGAAUCGAGGCGCGGUAGUGCUGAACUUAGCUUUAUAAGUUGGCGGCUGGACGUAAUUAUAUUUAUUUAGUCGUGUUUUUUAUUAGUUGUAACAAUGUGUCAGUAUUUCACAUUAUUUGCGGCGCCUCCUGGACACCAAAGCGGCAACGGGGACAUGAAAGCUAGAACCCGGACUAGACCGUGGUUUGGGGCUGGCCGAAACCUGCGCGUGCCAGGGGUGUAUAAGAUCGUCUGUCCGUGACAACGGACAACCAAUUUUUUAUGCUAAUUCAUAAGGGCGUUUCACAUCGCUUGUCGACGCAUGCGUGUGUGGCUUAAUGGUUUCAGUAUCAGACCUCCGUGCUAAAGGUCCUGUGUUCAAAUCCCGCCGUCGGACAGCUUUAAUAAUGUUUGUGUAAUUAUUUAUUACGCAGUGCAUUGCUGAAAAUGACGAGCUUACAAAGCCGUUUGAAGCCAGAAGGACGAAGUUUAAGCAAAUCCUUGUAUUUCCCUUAAUUCCCAUGCUGGUACAACCGCUACCAUUGCAGAUCCUGUAGACACUAGCGCCAGAGUUCCCUUUCGUAAUUAUUGUAUGAAACCCUAUGGCUGCCUAGAGUGCGGUAGAGUGAACCAGAAGACUUUCCUAUUGGCGCCAGCAGAGCGCGCUCCCGUCGCUUGCCCCCUGUUCCCGCUUGUGGCGAAAGUAGCGGCGGCGCUGUCAUAGCCCACCCUUCUCAUUUAAGUUUACUCUGCGGCAUGACAGGUGUGACUUUUUCCGUGUCGUGUACUUGUUUAUCCUCGUGAAACGGCCAAAACAGCAGCGUCUAAACCAUUCUUACGCACCGGGUUGCACAACUGCAUAUGCGCGUCUGUAACAAAGUUGUAAGUUAUCUCUCUUUAAACCCCGAAAGACGAACGACUUUGGGAACGUAUACUCCAUCGGCUUGACGCCAAUUGAGCUGCGCGCGAGUUGCACCUUGAACCGCAUUUUAUUGCGGGAGUCUACAUGCGUACCAUUAAUUGUGUUGAAGUUCGAAUGCCCAGGGGAACGCAACGCUUGCUCCUAAUGCAGUUCCGACGAUUUUGCCCAACCUGCAUGCAUAUUUGAUACGAAAAACUCGGGCUCCACAAAGCGGCGUUGAUUGCCAUUAAUUGUAUUAGCUAUUACAAUCUUGCCGAGAGCGUCAUUGGAUCAAACCUUCAAGAGUAAUUCGUAAGCUCGCUUUGGCAGUUGGAGACCAGAUUGCUAGUUCGUACAAGUAGCAGUUGACUUGUUGCUUGAUGAGGGAGAUAUUAAAGGCGCCGAAGGUUCGCUUGAUAGCAGCUCUCUGACUACUGAACCACCCAUAAAUUAUUCGCUGUAGUGACUCGAGACUUACUGAUUAUGUGGUAGGCUUUGUCGCAAGCAAGUGUGUACUGAAAACAAAGUGUAGUGCAUGCACGAACCAGCUUCUGCUGCCUGCUUCAGAUAGAAAGUGCUUAAAUGCUGCCGUUUUCACGAAAUCUUGCGACUUCGCUGGUCUUCUCUGCUCUUCACUGAAGCUUUCCGUGUUUAUCAGUGAACUUGACAUUUUCACUGGCUGCUAUAGCAAGAGUUAGCUACAUCGAGACAGCAUUAUGGAUCUGUUGGCAGCCAUCAAUAGGAGCAGCAUUGGUGGUGUUGGUUGUGGUGAACAUUGCAAUGUAUUAACCGCGAAGUUGAUCGUUUUUUACGCUGUCACACGAUUCUACAUCGAGGGUCUUAUACUUCUGUCACACGGCAGAUCUAACGUCAUUUCCAAUGAAUGACAUUCGCUCGUAUGUCAUUUGUUUGUUAUCACAUGGGAAAAUGUAAUGACAUUCGUUGAAAAUGACAUUUUCAAUCAAAUGAGGUUGCAAAAUUAAUUCGCAUUCGUUUUGGAACAGAAUGUGUGCACCCUCGACACUGGGAGCCUACCAAUCAUCUUCGCAAACAACGUUCGUUGUUUUAAUUGUUAAAAAAAAAAAAUAACUCUAGUACUGUCACUUUUAUUCCAUAAGUUUUUUACUUUCAUCGAGUUUAAGUGUAUCACAGUGCAUAAUUACAGAAAUCUACUCAAUCUAUUGACUAGGCUGCCGUCUUUGGCUGUGGCAGUCGUGUUUGUUCUCACCAGCCGCAGACUCUUGGUUAAGCACGUGCGCGUUUAUGGUUUGUUUUGCCAUGACAACGACACAAGACGGCGAUAUAGACGCUCGAAAUGGGUCACAGUGGUCUGAAGGGGAGACCCGCACACUCAUAAGAGUGUGGCAGAACCACUUGGGAGACCUGCAGCGUACAAAGAGGAAUGCCAAAGUCUAUGGAGCCAUUCAAGAGGGGCUGUGCGCUGAAGGCGCCGACGAACCUCUCAAGGUAGUCGAAGAUAGAAAACUUGGAGAACAAAUACAGGGAUCUGUGCAAGAAGCGGUCAAGGUGCAAUCGCAUGGAAAUAUUUUUGGGAGCUGCACGUAUUCCUUGGAGGACUUCUCGUCCAUGACAAAUUAACGGACGAAAUUGGCUGCAGCAGCGCAACUGUUGGAGAGCUCGUUCAUGACAUGGUGCAUGGCACAGAUUUACAAUUCAGAGGAUGUUGUGCUGGACGACAACGCCAGCCAUCCACCCUCGCCACAGGCAUCAGAACGCGGUGAUCAUGCCAUUGUUUCAGUAGCAGAAACGCAUGCGUCAGUUGCACUACAUGCACCUGGCAUUGGCAGGAAAAUGCCAGUAGGAAGAACACAGAGGGAAUCCAUACUUGCACAGAUGAUCGAAGAACAAAGGAAAAUUAGAAUUGCAUAUGAGAAAUCGCAAGAAAAAUAAAACUCUUAUCGCGAACGUGUUCUUGUGCUGCAUGAAAAGGCUGCCGAGCGGUAAGAAAGAUUGAUUUCCAUCUUGGCGGACAUCAGCAAAAAAUAAAUGCCUUCUGGGCCAUUCC